rnacentral:ncRNA from 1 species
UCCUGCUUUUCCUCCCUGAGCAGGGACUGUUCAUUCAGUCGUUUCGGGCCCGACUGCCCAGGCGGUCGGGCCUUUUUUCU